rnacentral:rRNA from 1 species
UACGUAGGGGGCAAGCGUUGUCCGGAUUUAUUGGGCGUAAAGAGCGUGUAGGCGGCUUGGUAGGUCCGCUGUGAAAACUCGAGGCUCAACCUCGAGAUGUCGGCGGAAACCACUUGGCUAGAGUCCGGAAGAGGAGAGUGGAAUUCCCGGUGUAGCGGUGAAAUGCGCAGAUAUCGGGAAGAACACCUAUGGCGAAGGCAGCUCUCUGGGACGGUACUGACGCUGAGACGCGAAAGCGUGGGGAGCAAACCGG